rnacentral:sRNA from 1 species
AGUGUCUCACUCCUGUAAUCCCAGCACUUUGGAAGGCCAAGGCAGACAGAUCACUUGAGGCCAGGAAUUCAAGACCAGCUGGGCAACAUAGCAAAAUCUUGUCGCUACAAGAAAUACAAAAAUUCAGGAAUUUUAUGGAGAAAAUAUAAAAGAGUCUCCUGAUUAUGAAAGGAUCAUCAAUCUUCGUCAUUUUAAGAGGAUACUAAGUUUGCUUGAAGGACAAAAGAUAGCUUUUGGUGGGGAGACUGAUGAGGCCACACGCUACAUAGCCCCAACAGUACUUACCGAUGUUGAUCCUAAAACCAAGGUGAUGCAAGAAGAAAUUUUUGGACCAAUUCUUCCAAUAGUGCCUGUGAAAAAUGUAGAUGAGGCCAUAAAUUUCAUAAAUGAACGUGAAAAGCCUCUGGCUCUCUAUGUAUUUUCGCAUAACCAUAAG